AUUAAUUAUUUAAUAAUUAAUUAUUUUAUUUAUUUUAUUAUUUAAUUUUUAUAAAAAAUAUUUUAAAAAAUUUUAUUUUUAGUAAAUUAAUUAGAAAAAAAAUUAUUAUUUUUUGAAAAAUAUUAAUAAAAAAAAAUUUUAUAAAAAAAAUUAAUUUUUUGUUCCUUUUGUAUAAGGAUUAUUUAAAUAAAUUUUAAUUAUUUUAAUUUUCUCGAACUUAAAUGAGAUAAAAUUUUAUUUUUCUUAAUGUUACAUAAUUAAUAAAAAUAAAAUUUUUGAAAUUAUAUGUUAUUCAAAUUUAUAUAUCUAGUUUUUUAAUAUUUAAAUUUAAUUUAAAAUUAUUUUAUUUUUUAAUUUUUUAAAAAAAUUAUUUUAAAAAAUAAUUAAAAAAUAAAAGAGAUAAAUUUUUUAUUUAUUUUAAAAUUCAAUUUUUUUAAUUAUUCUUUUUUUAAUUUAAGUUAUUUUAAAAUUUUAUAAUUUUAAAUUUUAUUAUUUAAAUAAAUUUUUAUUUUUAUUAUUUAAUUAAUAUAUUAAAAUUUAAUUUUUAAUUAUUUAAAAUUAUUAAUAAUGGAUUAAAUUAGUAUUUAUAUAUUUUAAUAAAUAAUUUUUUAUAAAAUUAUUUUUAAAUAACUCGGCAAUUAUAAUUUUCACUUGUUUAUCAAAAACAUGUCUUAAUGAAAAAUAAUUUUAGGUUUAAUCUGUUCAAUGAUAAAAUUAUUAAAUAAUUGCAGUAUAUUGACUGUGCAAAGGUAGCAAAAUCAUUUGUUUUUUAAUUGAAAACUGGAAUGAAAGAUUGAAUGAAAAAUAAACUUUUUUAAAAAUUUUUAAAGAAUUUUUUUAUAAAAUAAAAAAAUUUUAUUAUAUUUAAAAGACGAUAAGACCCUAUAAAAUUUAAUAUUUAUAUUUUUAUUUAAUAAUAUUUUUAUAAAUAUAUAUUUAUUUGAUUGGGGUGAUUAAAAAAUUUUAAAAACUUUUAUUUUUAAAAAAAAUUAAUAUUUUAUUUAAUUAAUAAUUUUAAUUAUUUAUAAAUAAAAUUACUUUAGGGAUAACAGCAUAAUAUUAUUAGAUAGUUCAUAUUGAUAAUAAUGAUUAUGACCUCGAUGUUGAAUUAAUUAAAUUAAUAAAUUAAAUUGUUUUAAUUUUAGAAGAAAAAAUUAUAUUUAGUCUGUUCGACUAUUAAAACUUUACAUGAUUUGAGUUCAAAUCGGCGUGAGCCAGAUUGGUUUCUAUCUUUAAAAUUUUUAAUAAGUUUUUGUACGAAAGGAUUAA
rnacentral:rRNA from 1 species